UUACAGGAACUUACAAAUAUUGCGUAGGAUUCACUUGGCUGCAUAGAAUCUAUGAAAGUCCAGAAAAUCUCCUGACACCCCAUCAUCGGUCACAUUCUGGUAGCUCUGAUGGAUGGACGACCAUAAAAACAUAGGGUGCGGAACGUGCCUUGCUGUGUGUUCGAAGACGGAAGACCUAAAGACGAUGCUGACGAUAGCGAUGUUCUAAAUGUUCUUAUAUUCCAUGCUAUGCUCUAUGAUCCUUUUUAUUAAACGACGACGAGCAUUAUCCUGCAAUAUUACCUGCAGCAAGAUUUAUAUGAAAGGAUAUAUUUUCUGCUUUUUAUUUCUUUGGAUGUUCAUACAUACAUACAUACGAAAUGAAUUCGCAAUGCAUGCUGGUUCGGAUUUUGAAUUUUUCAAAUUGAUUUCCAAAGGGACAACAUGCAGUAUAAGUUUUAUGUGUGUGAUUUUACCCAGGAACGGGUCCAAAAAGAGGGGUCUUACGAACGAUUUUUGUGUUUCAUAUUUUACACAUAAUUCAUAAUAUUUUCAUAUGAUUUUUUAAGCUUGGGAAAGUUUUAUAAGGUGUGAAGGACCUAAAAUAAUUGUAUUGAAGAUCUGGGAAUACACUUUUUGGAACGUAUUCACUAAUAUUCUAGGGACUAUUCACAUAAGAGCGACCAACGACAUCUAUUAUGACAUUUCUUUCACAUGGCUUUUCUUUCGUCGUCAUAACAAAAUCACAACAAAGACUAGAAUACAAAUUUUAGGUCAACACGAGCGUAAACAUUUCAUUCGUUGAAGUGUGGAUCGUAUGUGGAACCCGAAUUAAGCUUGACAAUUCGUUAAGGUGUGUCCGCACUAAAGAAAAUUUUUAGUAAAUAUUGUAAAAAAAAAACGUUUAUGACGAAUGGGAAAGCCCAUUUGUUUAAAAAUCAUUAAACGAGUGUAAGGAAGGCAAUAUGCGUUAACAAAGAGACAGUUUUUAACUGAAAAUAUAUUGCAAUGAGUUUAAUUUAAAUUAAAAAAUUAACUAAGCUGACAGUGUCACUACAUCAGCCCUAGUUAUUCUGGUUUUUUGAACAGUAAAAUUGUCUCUAAGACUGUGAAGUAAAUACUACAGAAAUUCAAUACCAUUUGAAAUCUAAGAUUACGAAAAUAUUAAGUAUUCUCCUUGAUUGCAGAAAUAUAAGAAACUAUGAUGUUUUAAUCAGCAUUAUGAAUUGAAAGGUGUAAGAAAUGAGUAGUUUUUCUAAUAACUUGAUGUCAAAAGAGCCAAACAGUUUUUAUUACUUUUAUGUUUCCUCUCUGUGCAGCUCAUAAGGCCAAACAAAAUAGCCUCAUAUUACCGAUUCCGUCAUGAACAAAGAAGUUACACCAGAAAAUUAGUGUAUUUUUUACUUCUUGUUUUCAGCGUUUUUUUUUUUAUUUUUUGUUUUACUUUUUGGAUACAAGUUUUUGAACAAAAGGAAAAACAUCGACAGAGAUUGAUGUAGUUUACCUUGAAAGUUUAUUAGUUAAACUUAAAUCUCCUCAAGUGCAAGAUUAAAUGUCAAA